GGUUAAUCCAGCCUCUAGUGGCUGUCUCAUUGACAGCCGCUAGAGGCGCUUGCGUGCUUCUCACUGUGAUUUUAACAGUGAGAAGACGCCAGCGUCCAUAGGAAAGCAUUGUGACUGGCUGAAUGCUCUUGCCGCGCAUGCAGCCGAGGAGGAGAGCUCCCCACCCGGCGCUGGAGAAAGAGGUAAGUUUAACCCCUUCCUCACCCUAGAGCCCGGCGGGAGGGGGACCCUGAGGGUGGGGGCACCCUCAGGGCAGUAUAGUGCCAGGAAAACGAGUAUGUUUUCCUGGCACUAUAGUGGUCCUUUAACAUUCU